CCUGAAAUAUAAUACACCGUUGUUAGAUACAUUACUUGUUUAAAAACAUUUUUUUUUACAUUUGAACAAUUUUUCUAAACCUAAUAGCUUCGGAGAUAUUCCGUCAAAUAUGUUUCCAACAUCCAACUUCGGGAGCUGUUUUCACUCUUUCAACAUGAAUAUCAGUACAUAAAAAGAUAUGUGUCAAAUACUUUUUCAAGAACUACAUCAUACUAUAUAAGCUUCAUUAAAAUCUGUGAUUUACACUUGAGUAUGUUUCUAUAUUACUCAAACAAAGAAAGAAUCAGAAAUGGAAAAUUGUGUUAUAUUUACUUUAAAGCCGAGUUCUCCAGGAUUUUCUGCCUCGAAAUCGUACAAAGCUGUGCAGCAAGGUUGUCUUGUCAUCGGAGUCCUGGCUGGCGAUUUGCUCGGAGAUGGCAAGGGUGAAGCUAGAAACCAUCAAGAAUUUUAGAAUUAUAUUAGAUAUAAAUAAAUAAUGCAACAAAAUAUUACGCUUGCUGUGACAGUCUUAAAUUAGAGCACUACAGUAUCUAAAUAAUUUGAAUUUUACCUUCAAUAAAAUAAAACAUAAUGCAAAACUAAAUGUAUGGUAAUAUCUGAUGAUCAACUUAAACAGCUGUUCUCGCUAAAAUCUAGAUAAAAUUAUGAAGUAUAGUGAAUCACAUUAAUAUAUAAAUACGAUAAUGUCUGAGAUCUAUAUAUGCAGUGAAAAUUAAAUUAGAAAAUUAGAUUUCUAUUGGUUCUAAGCAGACUUUUUAUAUAAUUUUUAUAGAGAAAUCUACAACAAUCCAAUAAAUAUUAUAUUAUAUUAUAUAUAUAAUAUAAUAUAUUAUAUAUUAUAUAUUAUAAUAUAUAUAAUAUUAUAGUAAACAACAUAACGGCCUUGACAUUCAAGUUUUAUUGUGAAUCACUAUAUCUUAUAAAAUUAAGAAAAACAAAAUAUUCCAUAACAGCACACACAAAAAGAAAUGUACAACCAUUACAUAAACAUGCAUGUAUAUACUUAAUGAUCGUUAAAUGGCUAAAUUAGAAUACAUUGAUAGAAAAUACACAAGAAGCAAAAUAGUAAUUACUUUCUUGCCCUGUUUGCGGUGCACGAAAAGCGAUAGAAUUGAAAUUGAAUAAUUAAUCGAUCGAUUGAAACCUACGAUAGGAGAAAC